UCCCAUCGAGAUAGGGUGAGAAGCUCUUUUACCUGGGAGGAGCUCGGAGUAGAGCCGCUGCUCCUCCACAUCGAGAGGAGCCAGCUGACAUGGCUCACCUGGAUGUCUUCCUCAGGAGGUGUUCCUGGAGGAAGUGUCUAGGGAGAGGGAAGUCUGGGUGUCCCUGCUCAGACAGCUGCCCCCGUAACCUGGCCACGGAUAAGCGGAACAAGUUGAUGGAUGGAUUGAUGGAUGGACAAUUUCAGGCAGGAGAAAUCAACCAAUCACAAACAGGUAUCAUAUGACAUCAUACGGGGGAGCAUCUCAUUGGCUGGUCACUCUUUAAAGGAAGACAACUGAUGGAGAGCAGUAGCGGUGGGGAGGGACCUUUCCAUGUGGCACAAGAAUGUGAUUGACAGGUGAGGACACAGUGUGUGUGUGUGUGUGUGUGUGUGUGUGUGUGUGUGUGUGGUGACCUGGUUGUCAUGGCCACAUGAUGAAGAUAAUAAAUAAAA